rnacentral:rRNA from 1 species
GACGAACGCUGGCGGCGUGCCUAAUACCUGCAAGUCGAGCGCAGGAAACUGACGGAACUCUUCGGAGGGAAGGCAGUGGAAUGAGCGGCGGACGGGUGAGUAACACGUAAGGAACCUGCCUCAAGGAUUGGGAUAACUCCGAGAAAUCGGAGCUAAUACCGGAUAGUUCAACGGACCGCAUGGUCCGCUGAUGAAAGGCGCUCCGGCGUCACCUUGAGAUGGCCUUGCGGUGCAUUAGCUAGUUGGUGGGGUAACGGCCCACCAAGGCGACGAUGCAUAGCCGACCUGAGAGGGUGAUCGGCCACACUGGGACUGAGACACGGCCCAGACUCCUACGGGAGGCAGCAGUAGGGAAUCUUCCACAAUGGACGAAAGUCUGAUGGAGCAACGCCGCGUGAGUGAUGAAGGUUUUCGGAUCGUAAAACUCUGUUGUAAGGGAAGAACACGUACGAGAGGAAAUGCUCGUACCUUGACGGUACCUUACGAGAAAGCCACGGCUAACUACGUGCCAGCCGCCGCCGUAAUAC